AAUACAUUACUCCAACUUUGGACCACAUUUGGCAAAAGUAUGGCACAGUCAGCACUGGCUAACCAGGGUGUGAGUCUAAACUGGCCCACAUAUAAUGCAGAAAAUGUGGCCCAGUUAUCUUAAAACAUAUCUGGGCCAGUUUUGGCAAAGUUGAGGGACAGUAACGACUGGCAUAUCUGAAUGUGGACCUAAAGUGGCCCACACACAGCAUAGCAAAUAUGGCCCGAAUAUAUAUUACUCCAACUUUGGACCACAUUUGGCAAAUGUCCGGCACAGUCAUCACUGGCUUACCAGGGUGUGAGCCUAAACUGGCCCACAUAUAAUGCAGCAAAUAUGGCCCAGUUAUCUUAAAACAUAUCUAUGCCAGUUUUGGCAAAGAUGAGAGACAGUAACGACUGGCAAAUCUGAAUGUGAACCUAAAGUGGCUCACACACAGAAUAGCAAAUAUGGCCCGAAUAUAUUACUCCAACUUUGGACCACAUUUGGCAAAUGUACAGCACAGUCAUCACUGGCUUACCAGGGUGUGAGCCUAAACUGGCCCACAUAUAAUGCAGCAAAUGUGGCCCAGUUAUCUUAAAACAUAUCUGGGCCAGUUUUGGCAAAGAUGACGGAGUGUAAUCACUGGCGAUUCUGAAUGUGAACCUAAAGUGGCCCAGACAUGGCAUAACAAAUAUGGCUUGAAUACAUUACUCCAACUUUGGACCACAUUUGGCAUAUGUAUGGCACAGUCAGCACUGGCCAACCAGGGUGUAAGCUCAAAAUGGAACAGUAAGCAAGUUAAUAGUUAAUAACAAUUAGGGCCACUUUUGGUAAAUAUACAGUACAGUUGACACAGAAAAUAUGCUCUAAAUAUCAUAAAAAAAACAAGGCCAAUUCUGGCUUUGGAAGGAGCACCUUUAAAAACUGGUUAAUUUAGAUGUAUAGCUAAAAAUGAAACUAAAAAUAUAGCAUUAAUAUUUUUCAGGAAAUUUGAUAUAGGAUGCAACACUGUUAAUUGUACAGGCUAAUCUGGAGAAGGCGGCUAUAUCGGGGGUGGUAUGUUAUUUAUCAACAUAAAUGAUGUUUUUGGAAAAUGUAAAUUGUAGAAAGUUUUCUGUGAUGGGUAGGUUUAAUGUAGAGGGAUAGAUUAUGCAGUUUGUACAGUAUAAAAAUCAUUAUGUCUAUGGAAAGUCCCCAUAAAACAUGAAAACACAAUGUGUGUGUGUGUGUGUGUGUGUGUGUGUGUGUGUGUGUGUGUGUGUGUGUGUGUGUGUGUGUGUGUGCUGUAGAGCAGAAACACAGACGUGCACUAUUACAGCUUUUACAGUCAGUUUUGCUGUACAUGUACUGUAAGUAGAGUGUCUGGUUGAGAAACGUGACAACUUAGUUAAAAUUAGUGAACUGUUUUUAUGGUCUUGGAACAUACAUUUUAAUGUUUGGUAGAGAGAUAUUUUGAGCAGCUGUAUGUUAAAAUCUUUGCCAUGGUUUCAAGCAGGACAUAUUCCUCUGUCCACAUGUUUUGUUGAUCUUGUAACAAGAUCCCAAGGGCAAGUUAGUCCUAACGCUACCCCUAAACCUAACCCAAUCCAUUAUCCUUAAAGCAGGAAAUGAUAACCAGCACAAAACCCUGGUUGAUGCAUAAACUUGACAUAAACUGUAAACUUAUCACUCAAAUAUGAUUGGUUGAAUGAAAUGCAGGAUUAACAAUGUAAGCAGGCAGUGUCAUUUUAUAAACUGCUUUAAGUGACCCUGAUAUUGUAAUAAGUAUAUAAAUGAAUGAAUAAACUAAUAAAUAAAUAAAACAUUACAAAACAAACAUUAAUAAAAAUAUUUAAUUUGUCUUACAUUUUGGCUGAAUAUUGACAUUUACAUUUAUAAAUGACUUUUUUUAUGAAUAAAAAUAGCCUAUCAUAAUAUUAAUUGAUGAAUUAAAUUAUGAGUGGGUAAAUCAGCACAAACUGCAAUGAGAACAUUGUAUGUUAUUUUGAUAUUAUUAACUUUUCAAACCAUUUUUUUAAUCAUGUUAUAGGCUUCAGCUAACUUUGUUAGAGAUAAGAUAUUUUUUUAAUCAAAGUUCAAACUGGUUCGAAUUUUCCUACUUCCGGCCCUUUAAAUUUAAAAGUAGGCGCGCGGAAAAGGCGCCCAAAAGACGGAACAGCAGAGGAUCGGCUGGAGAAUUGACGGUGGAAAACUCCACAAAGUAAAGUCAAGGUAAAAUUUCAUAAAAAAUAAUGAAUUUAAACAAUGUCUUUUUGUUGGCGAUUGCUUCGUUAUAUUUGAUUGGAGUAUUUAUGUGAUAUUAAAGUGAUAACAAAUUGUUAGCAAGCAAACACAUAGACUAUUUGAAGAUAAGUUAUUUAGUCAUUUCAACUUUUGCUAUCUCUGGAUUUUCAGGAUUUUUUUUUAAAUAUGAAUGUUUGUGUGGAGAAAUAGGCUGAAUGAUGAUUGUAAGUGACCGUGACAUAGUAAUUUGCUAUGUUCGCGCUGUUUACAUUUUUCUUAUGAUACUUUGCUACGGCCAGUAGAUCAAGAGUGAUUAGUUAAUUGUUUUUAUUUUAUUUUAUUCAAUAUCUCGUGAAUAACGUUGAUUAGUUCGCCACCGAGUCUCUUUCGUUCGUUUGUCACGUGACGUGACAGCAUACGUUAAGAUAACGUUAGUUUGGUUUUACUCCUUGUAUUCUUAAAGUGAGUGCAUGACGCGUUCCUGAUCUCAUUUCUUGCACUUUGAAUUUGUGAAUAUGUGAUACAGUUUUUUUUUUGUGAUAAUUAAAUGAUAAUUCCUAAAUAAAUGCUGAUGAAAUAGUCGUAUCUGUCUGUUUCCUGCACUAGCCUAUGCUGCUAUCACGUGACAAAAGAAUGAACGAGGCCUAACUGAAGACCCUGAAUUAAUAAUUUAUCUUUGUUAUAAUUUGUUAUUGUGGCUGCAAUAGCUUUUAUCUAUUAGUUGUUGUUUAUCAUUACUUUGUUAUUUAUUUUAAAUAUGAUCAAAGGUUGUGCAAGUAGAUGUUUUAGGGGAAUCUGGGUAUUGAAAAUGUAACAUUUAAUGUAAUUCAGCUCAAAUGGAUAAAAUGACUUGAAUAAAUAGUCAGUAACAUGAUCUGAACUACAAUUAAGUCCCAUGAAGGCAGCAUGUAGCCCAGUUAAACUGUAAAGUGGUCAGUAACACUGAACCAGUGGUCAAUAACACUGAAGUGAUACAUUGUCUGUCUCCUCAAUGUAGAUCCUCCUGCUGUAAAAAAAACAGCAUUGACCAGCAUGAAUUCCCCUUCACUCACUGUCUACCAACCUGCAGUCGGUUCGGCACGAAACAUGAGGCUCACAGCAACAGAUUAAGAAGAAGAAUCCUGCAUCAAAAGAUGGCUUCAACUUGCAUGUGAGACAGAGCGAGAAGAGAAAAAGAGGAAUGAAGAUGGACUGUCUAAGAAACCUGUUACCAUAGUCAGCUGGAUCCCUUCCAAAUCCAGAUCAGAUGGUGGACCUGCAUCUUGGCAUGACCACAACACAAGCCUAAAUGUCAGCGAAGACCAUGUCAACUAGACAAGCCGUAGAGACAGAUCCCCUGUGAGGACUUCGUUGACAGCCAUCGGCACAGAUCCUCAGCAAAGUCCACAAGAACCAGACAAGUCCUCUGCACAGACCCCUACGGCCAGCUUCAACUCUAUGCCGGCGUGUUGUAUCUUGAUCUUCAAACUGAUGGAACCAGAUCAAAAUAUUCUAAAUUAUACCAAUCCACAAUCUGACUUGUGAUGGAGCCUGAAUCAUAUCACACCAUGUUCGUUCACUGGCCAGAGGAGAAUUGGUCCCUGACUGAGAUUGGUUUCUCCCAUGGGUUUUUUUCUUCUCCAUUUCUGUAACCUGAUGGAUUUUGGGUUCCUUACCACUGUUGCCUUUGGCUUGCUAAGUUUGGGACACUUAAUAUUCAGCAAUAAUAUUGAUUUGAUUGCAUUGACACUAUCAUAUGAGAACUGAACUGAGCUGGACGAUGACAUCACUGUUUUCUGCAGAGCUGCUUUAUAACGAAUUGAACUGAUUUCAUAAUUGAUUAACUCUACACAGCUAUUGAACAGAACUGAAACUAAACUGACUUCAGCUGAACAAUGACACUAUUUUCUUUUUAGAGCUGCUUUACAGCAGAAUUGAACUCUGUUGGAAUAACUGAAUCAUUCUCCUGUUUAUACCUGUAAAGCUGCUUUGAAACAGUCUAUAAAGUGUUAAAUUAAAGGUGACUUGACUUUUGAAAUAGCCUGCUUGUGGACCAGAUCUGGUAAACAGUAAUGCGUUGCCAAAAUGUCACCAUUCUAGGCAGCAUGUGGGCCACAUGAGGAACGUGGGAAAGACCAGGGUUAAAAUAAAAAUCAACUGUGGCCCACAUUAGGGUCAGUUCUGGUUUAUUAUUUGGUUUGUUAGUGGCUUACGUGUGGCAUUUCCAAGGCUUGCUUGUGGCCCAGAUCUUGCAAACAGGAGUGGACCGCUCAAGUGCCAUCAUUCAACGCGGUAUGUGGGCCAGAGCAAGGUGUUGGAUCUGGGCCAGAAUUAAAACGAACUGUUGCCCAGAUUAGGGCCAGUUCUGCUUUAUUCAUAUUGUUUAUGGCUCACAUGCGGCAUUGGUAUGGCUUGCUUGUGGCCCAAAUCUGAAAAACAGGAGCGAACCGCCCAAGUGCCAUCAUUCCAUGCAAUUGGUGGGCCAGAGCAAGGUAUUGGAUCUGGGCCAGAAUUAAAAUAAACUGUUGCCCAGAUGUGGGCCAGUUCUGCUUUUUUCGUUUUGUUAAUGGCUGACAUGUGGCACUGGUAUAGCUUGCUUGUGGCUCAAAUCUGGCCAACAGGAGUGGACCGCCUAAAUGCCAUCAUUCUAUGCGGUAUGUGGGCCAGAGCAAAGGGGUUGGAUCUGGCGCACACUUGGCACUUUCAUGUGGCCCACAUUUGGCAGGAAUGAUGGCACUUGGGUGGUCCGCUCCUGUUUGCCAGACUUGGGCCACA